rnacentral:rRNA from 1 species
GAUGAACGCUAGCGGCAGGCCUAAUACAUGCAAGUCGAACGGUGUCUUCGGACAUAGUGGCGCACGGGUGCGUAACACGUAUGCAACCUACCUUACAUUGGGGGAUAGCCUUUCGAAAGGGAGAUUAAUACCGCAUAAGACAGUAGCUGGGCAUCCAGCAGCUGUUAAAGAUUUAUCGAUGUAAGCUGGGCAUGCGUCCAAUUAGCUAGUUGGUGAGGUAACGGCUCACCAAGGCAAUGAUUGGUAGGGGAACUGAGAGGUCAAUCCCCCACACUGGCACUGAGAUACGGGCCACACUCCUACGGGAGGCAGCAGUAGGGAAUAUUUGGCAAUGGACGCAAGUCUGACCCAGCCAUGCCGCGUGCAGGAUAAAGGCGUUAUGCGUUGUAAACUGCUUUUAUACAGGAAGAAACGACUCUUGCGAGAGGCAUUGACGGUACUGUAUGAAUAAGCACCGGCUAACUCCGUGCCAGCAGCCGCCGUAAAAC